GAUGGCCUAACAAUGGGAAGCUGACUAAGGACCUAUUGGGGGUGGGGAUGAGGAUCUUUUUAAAAAGAAGCUUCUGGGAAGUCAAUAGGAAAAUAGGCUGGUUUCCUUUGCCACACCAUUCCUGAAUUCUGAUUAUAAUUCAGAUGACAUUCAGAAGAGAAUUCACACUCCUAUGAGCAAAUUUGAAAAACGAGAAUGAAAUUCUCACAUGUCUGAUCUACUGGAUGCUGGUUACUACUGAUAAACCCUUGGAGGAAGACAAAUGGAGGAGCAGAAGUGGGGAAAUGACAGCACCAGGCAAGCAAAAAAAAAACAAUCCAUGAUUUGCCUCUUGUUGUUCUCAUCAUUACUGACCGCUCGAAGAAAAGAAACAAACAUUUCAUCCACCCUCCAGAUUACUACUUAUUCCAGUGGUAAAAAUAGAUUCUUGAAGUCUACAAUAAAUUCAGAGAAAUACAAGAAGGAGGAGAAAGAAGAGGAGGAAUGACUAGAUGACCCUUGGUAUACCUGAGACUGAUUCCCAAGCUAAAGGCUGCAAAUCUUCCUCACAAGCUAGGAUCCUUUUGAAGGCCUUCAGAUGUGUAGUGAUAUUUCUGAACACCAAAAGCAUCCAAACUUUACUUUGCUCAU